AAUUUUACACUAUGAUUUUGCAGAUAUUUUCGCACUCGCUCCCCAUCAUUCAUUCUCACGGCAACAUCCCCAAGACGCCUGCUGGGGACGGUCAUGCCUCAGGCCGAGUGGGGCACAUGGAGGCAGGAGCAAGCUGCCAGCACCGUGUGGCGUGGCUCACGUCACUUCCACUCCUCUUCUCACACGUGCGAAGACUGGAGCACAAAAAGGCAAAGACGUGACAUUCCUAGGAAAGCCAGAACUCAUAGAGCGGGAAAAGGAACAAGGUCCACAUAUCAGGCUCCCAGAUUGUUCUGUUUUUUUGUGCACAUACACUAUCCAAACCCUACUCCUUACUGAUAACCUAACAUUCCAUCCCCUAAAAUCACACCCGGCACUUGAUCGCAUGCGCACGUGAACAGCGUCUCCUGGAAUGGCGUUCAAUACAAAAGCACAGUUUGGACUUUUGGAAGGAAGAAGUAAUAUCUCGCAGACAUCUCUGGGCUGGUGAGGGGUUGGAAUCACUCUCCCACGAACCAAGGAUCCUUACAAGAGACAGAGACGGUAAGGGGCCUGAGAGGAGGUGCUUACGUCGCCCAUGAGUGACAACCGCCGGGCCUGGCUUCCAAAAGCCCGUCGCAGAACAUCCUAAGGCAAAAACCUCUGACUGGAAGGCGCCAUGCUUGUGCUGGAAGUCGGUCAACGGCUCGCGGCAUCAGUGCGAUCCCCGGUGGUGGGGACAGGAGACACCAGGGGUGGCAUGCCUUCCCCCCCCCACCCCCCACCCCCGCAAACGGAGUCAGGGCAGCCACAACACACAAGCAGUAAAAACCUGGGGCUACACCCCUCGGACUCUUUCUCAUCCCAUUUUCUCCAUUUCUGCCACAAUACAAGCCAACUCAGAUC
rnacentral:lncRNA from 1 species